CUCUGCAAAGCCAAACUCUCGUAGUAUAUAAAGAAGUAGCUUCAAAGAAAUAUCUACAAAGAGAAAGAUAACCAUUUCAUUACUCUGAACUCUGAUCAACAGAGCUUCAACAAUAUGCGUGAAAUGGAGAGAAAACCCCUAGGGAUUAUGUUCUUUCUGCUCUUUGUCUUAAUUGCUGAUGUGGGUGUGAAGAGAGCAGAGGCAGAUUGUUUUAAACCAAGUGCCCAUUUCAAAGGAGCAUGCUUUCUGAGUGAUGACUGCGCUUCUCAGUGUAUGAAAGAAGGUCAUCCUGGUGGUGAAUGUCAAGGCUUUAUCCCUCGUCGUUGCAUGUGCAUGUGUUAAUUCGAUCAUUAAUCAUGUUUCAUUAAUAAAUGUGUCAGAUCAAUUAGUAUAAUCUGUCACAUAUUUUCCCUUUUA